AAAUUGAAGAGUUUGUUCAUGGCUCAGAUUGAACGCAGGCGGCAGGCCUAACACAUGCAAGUCGAGCGGUAGCACAGAGAGCUUGCUCUUGGGGGAGGGGCGGCGGACGGGUGAGUAAUGACUGGGAAACGGCCUGAUGACGGGG
rnacentral:rRNA from 1 species